CCUCUUUAUAGUUUUGGCACGAAACGCAAAGUAACAAAAAUGCUGCAAGCAAGACAAGUCGACCUCCAGCGCAAGACUUUGUUGCUCGCCCGGUCUUGUUUGUUGCUCAACCAAACUUUUUGGUGGUAAUAGAGACAGCGGAAGUUGACUUGGAAUAAAUCUAGUGCAGUGCUUGCAAGGAAAAUUUACUCUGGUAUUGCCAUUUACACAUUGAUGUAGGGCGUAAAAAAAACCUGUGGUUCCGGUUCCCGACCGACCCUAUUUUUUUUCUGCCGACCCAAUUAUUUUUUCAACGCGAUUGACCAUGCAACCCUAUUUUCUCCAGGUGGUUGCGGGCUGCUCGUACAGCGUGCCAAAAUGGCGUCUGUUGUCACACUAAUUAUUGAACCAAAUUGCCUAAAUUCGUCCGUAGGAAAUAUGCAUCUCUAGUUAAUAUUGAUGUUGGGACUCUACUGCAAAUUGCCCUGCAAAAAACUGCCAAAGCCAUGAAAAAAAUUAAAAAAAAAAAUUUAUUUCCGACCUACUGACCCUAAUUUUUUCACGAUAUGAAACCGGAACCACAGGUAGUUUUUUUUACGCCUAGUCACUAGUCAGCCAUUUUGGAUACUCUGCUGGAAUAGGG